CAGCAGCCACGGUAAUACGUAGGUGGCAAGCGUUGUCCGGAAUUAUUGGGCGUAAAGGGCUCGCAGGCGGUUUCUUAAGUCUGAUGUGAAAGCCCCCGGCUCAACCGGGGAGGGUCAUUGGAAACUGGGAAACUUGAGUGCAGAAGAGGAGAGUGGAAUUCCACGUGUAGCGGUGAAAUGCGUAGAGAUGUGGAGGAACACCAGUGGCGAAGGCGACUCUCUGGUCUGUAACUGACGCUGAGGAGCGAAAGCGUGGGGAGCAAACAGGAUUAGAUACCCCCGUAGUCCCUGUCUCUUAUAC
rnacentral:rRNA from 1 species